rnacentral:misc_RNA from 1 species
GAUGAAGAACGUAGUGAAAUGCGAUAAGUAAUGUGAAUUGCAGAAUUCCGUGAAUCAUCGAAUCUUUGAACGCACAUUGCGCCCGCCAGCACUCUGGCGGGCAUGCCUGUUCGAGCGUCAUUUCAACCAUCAAGCCCCCAGGGGCUUGUGCUGGGGCCCUGCGGCUGCCCGCAGGCCCUGAAAACCAGUGGCGGGCUCGCUAGUCACACCGAGCGCAGUAGCACAUCUCGCUCAGGGCGUGCGGCGGGCUCCUGCCGUGAAACCCCCCACUGUAACCCCAAAGGUUGACCUCGGAUCAGGUAGGAAUACCCGCUGAACUUAAGCAUAUCAAUAAGCGGAGGA